GAGCCGAGAUCACGCCACUGCACUCCAGCCUGGGCGACAGAGUGAGACUCUGUCUCAAAAAAAAAAAGUCACGAGAACUGUCUGGAAAUGUGAGCAAUUUCAAGCGAGAGAUUAGUUGUUUUACAAAGUUCAUUAAAAUAUGCAUCAACCAUUCUUCAUCUCUUUGAAUAAAGCUGGAAUUAUGAGACAAAGAAAAAAGAGAACGAGAGGGAGAAAAUGUUCUAUCUUACUUCAACAGGCUCCGUUUUAUUGCAGUGCCAAAAUUUUUGAUCCACUGCAACAAACCAGAGACGACUUAACCAGGAUGACAAGGGUAUUACAAACUAGAAACUAGAGGAGUUUCACCUGAAAAUUGGGAGAUUUUGAGCAAAAACCUAGAGAUUAAAAAAUGGAGUCACAUGGCUAAGCAAGAUGUAUUAUUUAUUCAGUCCAAAGAAAUGCUAUGUUACAUCUGGAUUCAAGGGACUUUGCAGUAAUUCCAAGAGGUAGAAUGUAAGUCCCUGGGGGAAAGAGUCUCCAUGUGUGUUCAGUGUUUUGUGUGUGAUGAAACCUAUAUGUGUUUUCAUUUUCUUUCCUCUAAGAAACUUUUAUAUACAUAUUAACAGUUGCAGAGCGUUAAUGGGAGAAGAGAAAUGAGCAUAAAGUAAAAUGCUAGUAGCAAUGAUUAAUGCAACACUUAUUGUGGCCAAGAAUUUUACAUUUGUUAUCUCAUUUAAGUUUCAUGAAAAUCUCCAUUUACAGAGAAGAAAACUGAGACUGAAACUACCUUGCUCAAGCUCAUCGAGCUAGUAAGUGGAGGAAUUAGGGAUGUGAAACAAGGUCUGGAUGCCUCUGGGGCCCAUGCCCUAAACUAUGAUGUCAUAUCACCUUAGAAUACUAAAUCAGGCUGGGAGUGCUCAGAAGAAUUCAGAGCUUCUGAAUUUCAGACUGGUCCACACUUGACUCAUCUGGCUAUUUAAAGUGAAUGUAGCUUCAGAAUUAGGGAACUUGAUAUCGUGAACCCCCUGCAAAUCCGCAGCAGAGCAGAGAUGCCUAGAUUCUUAAUCCAACUCUGUCAUUUACUGACAAUGUAAAUGACAGGGUUUGGCUGUGUCCCCACCCAAAUCUCAUCUUGAAUUCCCAUAUGUUGUGAAAGGAACCUGGUUGGAGGUAAUUGAGUCAUGGGGGCAGGUCUUUCCCAUGCUAUUCUUGUGAUAGUGAGUAAGGCUCACGAGAUCUGAUGGUUACUGUAAGGGGGAGUUUUCCUGCACAAGCUCUCUUCUCUUGUCUGCCACCAUAUGAGAUGUGCCUUUAACCUUCUUCCAUGAUUGUGAGGCCUCCCCAGCCACGAGGAACUGUAAGUCCAAUAAACUCCUUUCUUUUGUAAAUUGCCCAGUCUUGGGUAUGUCUUUAUGAGCAGUGUGAAAAUGGACUAAUACAGUAACCUUGUAUAUCUUAUUAACCUUCUCCAAGCCCCUAUUUCUAUUUCAUUAGCAUUGGAAGAAUAAAAUCUUCACUGUUUAUGUAAUUGGUUUUGAGAAGUAAGCCAAACUGCAUAUACUAUAAAGUACAAAACAAUAGUAUAUAUUGUGAUUAUUUUGUGAUUUUCUCAAGUAUU
rnacentral:lncRNA from 1 species